AUCAGCAGCCAUAUCACCGAGCAGCUCUUAACUGGCUCCCAUUGAAGCUAAGCAGGGUUGAGCCUGGUCAGUACCUGGAUGACAGACCUCCUGGGAAGCUAUGGUUGCUGCUGGAA
rnacentral:rRNA from 1 species